AAAACCUCGUGGAGGACCGAACCACGUUGCUGUUGAAAAAGCAUGGGAUGAGCUGUGGAUAGCGGAGAAAUUCCAAUCGAACUCGGAUAUAGCUGGUUCUCCUCGAAAUAGCUUUAGGGCUAGCGUCGUGAAAUGUGAGUACUGGAGGUAGAGCACUGAAUAGGCUAGGGGGCAUAGCGCUUACCGAACCUUAUCAAACUCCGAAUGCCAGAUACUAUCAGCACGGCAGUCAGACUAUGAAAGAUAAGUUCCAUGGUCAAAAGGGAAACAGCCCAGAUCGUCAGCUAAGGUCCCAAAGUGUAAGUUAAGUGGAAAAGGAUGUGGGAUUUCUAAGACAACUAGGAUGUUGGCUUAGAAGCAGCCACUCAUUAAAAGAGUGCGUAAUAGCUCACUAGUCAAGAGAUCCUGCGCCGAAAAUGUCCGGGGCUCAAACUUACCACCGAAGCUACGGGUUCAUACUUUGUAUGAGCGGUAGAGGAGCGUCGUAAUCGGGCUGAAGUCGUACCGUAAGGAGCGGUGGACUGAUUACGAGUGAGAAUGUUGGCAUUAGUAGCGAGAUGUAGGUGAGAAUCCUACAGGCCGAAUAUCUAAGGUUUCCUGAGUAAAGUUUGUCUUCUCAGGGUUAGUCGGGACCUAAGGCGAGGCCGAGAGGCGUAGUCGAUGGACAAUUGGUUGAUAUUCCAAUACCACUAUAAUCGUUAUUAUCGAUGGUGUGACGGAGAAGGAUAGGAUGUGCCAGCUAUUGGAUGCUGGUCUAAGCGUUGAGGGAGUUAGAACAGGCAAAUCCGUUCUAACAAUCCUAGGGCGUGAUGGGGAAGGUUCCACGGAACCGAAGUAUCUGAUUUCAUGCUUCCAAGAAAAGCAUCUAGAAAGAGAAGUAGUGCCCGUACCGCAAACCGACACAGGUAGAUGAGGAGAGAAUCCUAAGGCCGACGGAAGAAUCACAGUUAAGGAACUAGGCAAAUUGACCCCGUAACUUCGGGAGAAGGGGUGCCUACCAUUUGGUAGGCCGCAGAGAAUAGGCACAAGCAACUGUUUAACAAAAACACAGGUCUCUGCUAAAGCGUAAGCUGAUGUAUAGGGGCUGACGCCUGCCCGGUGCUGGAAGGUUAAGGGGAACACUUAGCGCAAGCGAAGGUGUGAACUUAAGCCCCAGUAAACGGCGGCCGUAACUAUAACGGUCCUAAGGUAGCGAAAUUCCUUGUCAGGUAAGUUCUGACCCGCACGAAUGGCGUAAUGACUUGUGCACUGUCUCAACUGUGAAUCCGGCGAAGUUGUAGUGCGAGUGAAGAUGCUCGCUACCCGCGAUUGGACGGAAAGACCCCGUAGAGCUUUACUGUAGCUUAGCAUUGAAUUUCGGUAUUGUCUGUACAGGAUAGGUGGGAGACUGGGAAAUUAGGGCGUCAGCCUUAAUGGAGUCGUUGUUGGGAUACCACCCUGAUAGUAUUGAAGUUCUAACUGGAUGCCAUGAAACUGGUGACAGGACAUUGUUAGGUGGGCAGUUUGACUGGGGCGGUCGCCUCCUAAAAUGUAACGGAGGCGCCCAAAGG
rnacentral:rRNA from 1 species